UGAAUUUCGAUAAUCAGCUUAUAUCGUCAGCUUGUGUUGAAAAACACUCGUUGUAAUAAAGCGUUAUCUGACGGCGACUCGUUUAGUGAUCUAUGUGUAUACAACUAGUCAACACACAAAGCGGAAACAAAUUUGAACAACAUACACGAAACGGAUCUUCCCGAAAUCAACCAUAGAGCAACCAAUAUUCGGCUAUCACAUUAUGACACCAAUUUCCCCUGCUAUAAUGCAUGCACACGGUGUCAUGUGUAAAGCAACAUAACUACCUUUGUACAACUCUCAGUGGCCUGGAUACAUUCGCCGAGACCGGUUGUCGAUCAUCACAACUCACUGUUCAACACAUUCUAAAAAGGUUAUAAAAGGUCCAUACAUUUCCGCCAAGGGAACCUCUCUCCGACGCACAUUCCACGACAACCAGCGCGAAGUUGUUCUGGAUUGUCAAGUCCGCGACACAAGCUGAUAGUUUUACGAGACGUGGGACAAGAGAACGGUCGUUUGGUGAAGAACCACUUCCUGUUAGCAUUCAUUGUCUUAGAUCCACGCGGCAGUCAAAAAGAACAAAACCCAUCCAGCAUGUCUGAGGACAUUCCUCCUGACAAUGAGGAAAAUGUGGGUUAUGUGAAUGCUGAUAUACUGAUGUCCCUAAAGCCAGGGGACACAUUCCAAGUAAGACGGGGGAGUGUGGACGCUGUCAUCACCGAGGAAACAGCUGGCAGCAGCAGCCACACCACGCAUGAGGAGGUCACCGAAAUACGGAUAAGAAGACAGCGAGUCAUCAAACGGCGCACAACUGCACAGGCGGCACUCCAGGACGAUAUGGCUUAUCUGACAGUGACAGAAAUUGUCGACACUGAGAGAACCUAUGUCUCAAGAUUAGACAUACUCAAUCAGGUGAACACAAAGAACAAAAGCGUUAAAGCUGUCAGUGAUGAUAUCAUAAAGAAAAUAUUUCCGAGUUUGGCAUCGAUUUGGGAAUUCCAUAAGGAUUACUUACUGCCGCAAUUGGAAGAGAGACUCUCUAAGUGGAAACACGAGCCAAAGAUAGGCGACAUCUUCCGCCAGUGUCAGCCAUUCCUUCGUCAAUACGCGGACUACAUGCGCGGACUGCGGGGCGGUCAAAGGCUAUUGGCAGAGUGGGCAAAGAAAUCUGUGAAAUUUGCAUCGAUAAUUACAGACAUACAACAAAGCACGGAGUGUGAUAACCUGACACUGGAGACUCACAUGCUGGAGCCCAUACAACGUCUGCCCCGGUACCAGCUGCUGCUGCAGAGAUAUUUGACUUAUCUGCGCGAGGACUCCCCUGACAUGGAGGACGCUACAGUGGCACUCAACAUGAUAAAACGGGUGGCGGAGUAUGCAGACGACGUGUUGCUGAAAACGGACAAUCUUCAGAGCACGCUUAAAGCAUUUCAGAAGAUACACGGUGAACUCACGGACAGCACGAGGAAACGCGUGUUGGUGAAAGAGGGCAGGAUCAGCUACAUCGAUGGAAUCACGGAGCAGUCACACACCAGCUAUCUCUUCCUGUUUACAGAUGUACUUCUUAUGUGUGAUACCACAAAGCAAGGCAAAUUUACACUUCGUGAAGAGUUGAUGAUAAAUGAUAUUCAGGUGCGACAAGGACAAGGAGACAAUAGACAGCUAUUUGUCAUCCUGAGCAAAGAUAACGCCUUCCAGUUCAAUGAAAGGGACCAAGACGGCAAGAGGGUGUGCUGGGGUCAGGAAAUUCAGAAGUUGGUGGACAAGGCAAUGCAGAGGAGGGCAGAGGUGGCACUUACUACUUCAGUGACAAAUCGAUGCCCAACAUAUUCCUUGGCAAGUGGUCUCCCCGGGAAAUGAGUGAGGACGUCACGGACAGUUGUCUCAGCUGCCAUAUGUCAUUUGAGACCUGCGCUAGUCCCAAAAUUCACUGUGCCACAUGUGGAUUGGUGGUAUGUGAGCGGUGUACACGGAAACAGUGUGUGCCAUAUCAACAACACGCAGACUGCAGCGUGUGUCUGGAGUGUGACAACAUCCUUACAGACAAAUCUUCCCAAGGAGUAGUCACAUAAACUGCACAACCUUUG
rnacentral:misc_RNA from 1 species